GCUCGUAGUUGGAUUUCUGUUGAGGGUGGCCAGUCCGCACUUUGUGCGUGUAUUUGGUUCAGCCUCGGCAUCCUCCUGGGGAGCGUUUCUGUACUUGAUUGUAUGGGACGUAAUUCAGGACUUUUACUUUGAGGAAAUUAGAGUGUUCACGGCAGGCGUUCGCCUUGAAUAUGUUAGCAUGGAAUAAUAAUAUAAGACCUCGGUUUUAUUUUGUUGGUUUCUAGAAGCGAGGUAAUGAUUAAUAGGGACAAUUGGGGGUAUUCGAAUUAACGCGUCAGAGGUGGAAUUCUUGGAUUGCGUUACGACGAACUACUGCGAAAGCAUUUACCAAGGAUGUUUUCAUUGAUCAAGAACGAAAGUCAGGGGAUCGAAGACGAUUAGAUACCGUCGUAGUCUUGACCAUAAACUAUGCCGACUAGGGAUUGGAGGUCGCUCCUUUUACGGCUCCUUCAGCACCUUAUGAGAAAUCAAAGUUUUUGGGUUCCGGGGGGAGUAUGGUCGCAAGGCUGAAACUUAAAGGAAUUGACGGAAGGGCACCACCAG
rnacentral:rRNA from 1 species